AGUUGGAAGAUUGGGUCUCGGCAGAUAUCAUAUGGACUGCCAGAUCUAACUCUUCCAGCUCA
rnacentral:pre_miRNA from 1 species